UACGUAGGGUGCAGGCGUUAAUCGGAAUUACUGGGCGUAAAGCGUGCGCAGGCGGCUCCUUAAGUCAGAUGUGAAAUCCCCGGGCUUAACCUGGGAACUGCGUUUGAAACUGAGGGGCUUGAGUGUGAAAGAGGGGGGUGGAAUUCCAGGUGUAGCAGUGAAAUGCGUAGAGAUCUGGAGGAACACCGAUGGCGAAGGCAGCCCCCUGGGCUGACACUGACGCUCAUGCACGAAAGCGUGGGGAGCAAACAGG
rnacentral:rRNA from 1 species